rnacentral:rRNA from 1 species
AAGUCGAGCGAACCGACGAAGUGCUUGCACUUCUGACGUUAGCGGCGGACGGGUGAGUAACACGUAAGGAACCUACCGAUAAGCGGGGGACAACAUCCGGAAACGGGUGCUAAUACCGCAUAGGAAACACCACCUCAUGGUGGUGUUUGGAAAGACGGCUUUGCUGUCACUUAUCGAUGGCCUUGCGGUGCAUUAGCUCGUUGGUGGGGUAACGGCCUACCAAGGCAAUGAUGCAUAGCCGACCUGAGAGGGUAAUCGGCCACAUUGGGACUGAGACACGGCCCAAACUCCUACGGGAGGCAGCAGUAGGGAAUCUUCCGCAAUGGGCGCAAGCCUGACGGAGCAACGCCGCGUGAGUGAAGAAGGUUUUCGGAUCGUAAAGCUCUGUUGUAAGAGAAGAACAAAUUGGAGAGUAACUGCUCCAGUCUUGACGGUAUCUUACCAGAAAGCCACGGCUAACUACGUGCCAGCAGCCGCGGU